rnacentral:rRNA from 1 species
GAGCUCGUAGGCGGUUUGUCGCGUCGUCUGUGAAAACCCGUCGCUCAACGAUGGGCUUGCAGGCGAUACGGGCAGACUUGAGUAUUGCAGGGGAGACUGGAAUUCCUGGUGUAGCGGUGAAAUGCGCAGAUAUCAGGAGGAACACCGGUGGCGAAGGCGGGUCUCUGGGCAAAUACUGACGCUGAGGAGCGAAAGCAUGGGUAGCAAACAGGAUUAGAUACCCUGGUAGUCCAUGCCGUAAACGGUGGGCGCUAGGUGUGGGUUUCCUUCCACGGGAUCCGUGCCGUAGCUAACGCAUUAAGCGCCCCGCCUGGGGAGUACGGCCGCAAGGCUAAAACUCAAAGGAAUUGACGGGGGCCUGCACAAGCGGCGGAGCAUGUGGUUUAAUUGGACGCAACGCCAAGAACCUUACCUGGGCUUGACAUGUUCCUGACCGGCCUGGAAACAGGUCUUCCCUUCGGGGCAGGAUCACAGGUGGUGCAUGGCUGUCGUCAGCUCGUGUCGUGAGAUGUUGGGUUAAGUCCCGCAACGAGCGCAACCCCCGUCGCAUGUUGCCAGCAUUUAGUUGGGGACUCAUGCGAGACUGCCGGUGACAAACCGGAGGAAGGUGGGGAUGACGUCAAGUCAUCAUGCCCCUUAUGUCCAGGGCUACACACGUGCUACAUUGGCGCGUACAGAGGGUUGCGAUACCGCGAGGUGGAGCGAAUCCCUUAAAGCGCGUCUCGGUUCGGAUAGCAGGCUGAAACUCGCCUGCUUGAGGGCGGAGUUGCUAGUA